rnacentral:rRNA from 1 species
UACGUAGGGGGCAAGCGUUGUCCGGAUUUAUUGGGCGUAAAGCGCGCGUAGGCGGCCCGGUAAGUCCGUUGUGAAAGUCAAAGGCUCAACCUUUGAAUGCCGAUGGAUACUGCCGGGCUCGAGUCCGGAAGAGGCGAGUGGAAUUCCUGGUGUAGCGGUGGAAUGCGCAGAUAUCAGGAGGAACACCGAUAGCGAAGGCAGCUCGCUGGGACGGUACUGACGCUGAGGCGCGAAAGCGUGGGGAGCGAACAGG